AACGAACGCUGGCGGCAUGCCUAACACAUGCAAGUCGAACGAGACCUUCGGGUCUAGUGGCGUACGGGUGCGUAACGCGUGGGAACCUUCCCUUAGGUUCGGAAUAACUCCCCGAAAGGGGUGCUAAUACCGGAUAAUGUCUUCGGACCAAAGAUUUAUCGCCUUUGGAUGGGCCCGCGUUGGAUUAGCUAGUUGGUAGGGUAAAAGCCUACUAAGGCGACGAUGCAUAGCUGGUUUGAGAGGAUGAUCAGCCACACUGGGACUGAGACACGGCCCAGAAUCCUACGGGAGGGAGCAGUGGGGAAUAGUGGACAAUGGCCGAAAGCCUGAUCCAGCUAUGACGCGUGAGUGAUGAAGGCCUUAGGGUUGUAAAGCUCUUUUACCCGGGAUGAUAAUGACAGUACCGGGAGAAUAAGCUCCGGCUAACUCCGUG
rnacentral:rRNA from 1 species